AACGCGAAGAACCUUACCAGUCCUUGACAUGUCCAGUAUGGAUUCGGGAGACCGAGUCCUUCAGUUCGGCUGGCUGGAACACAGGUGCUGCAUGGCUGUCGUCAGCUCGUGUCGUGAGAUGUUGGGUUAAGUCCCGCAACGAGCGCAACCCUCAUCUUCAGUUGCCACCAGGUAAGGCUGGGCACUCUGAAGAAACCGCCGGUGACAAGCCGGAGGAAGGCGGGGAUGACGUCAAGUCCUCAUGGCCCUUACGGACUGGGCUACACACGUACUACAAUGGUGGUGACAGUGGGCCGCGAAGGAGCAAUCUGGAGCCAAUCCCCAAAAGCCAUCUCAGUUCGGAUUGCACUCUGCAACUCGAGUGCAUGAAGUUGGAAUCGCUAGUAAUCGCAGAUCAGCACGCUGCGGUGAAUACGUUCCCGGGCCUUGUACACACCGCUCGCGA
rnacentral:rRNA from 1 species